CGUACUACAUCAAGCCCUCCCCCUGAGGUAUCUAACAGUACUCAAGGCGGGUACUGUCAGACUUGAAUUUAAUGGUAGGUUACUCUGUAAUGCACACUAGAGAAUUGCUUGAUAUGGGGAAAAUUCUCCACACAUCUGGCCAUAGAAGUCGUCUGUUUUAAGUGUAAGAGGGUUGGGGGGGCAGUCUGUCUUUUUUGCAAGGCUACAAUAACAAAAUAUAGUAGCCUAUGUACAUUUCCUCUGUCUCUGGUGGGAAAGUCUAAGACAGUGGCAAAUCAAUGUCUGAUGAAGGUACUCUGUCCUUGUAAGUGGUAUCUUCCUGCUGUGUCCUCCUAGGGCACAAGGAAGAAGCUAGCUCUAGUCUCUUUAUAUAAGAGCACUAUCCCAAUCACGGGUAAUUAUCUCACAAAGACUCCCACCUCCUAAAACAAUGACCUUGGAAGUUAGCAUUUUGACAUUCAAUUUUAAGAGAGACCAAGCUUUUAGGCCACAGCUCUUAUGAUCUAUUCUCUCAGCCUAUUCUUUAUACCAACAGUGUCUCUUGCCCUGUUCCAGUGGUGAAAGAUGAAGUCAAGUUGGGAGUAUAAGUCUACUGAUAGAGUAACAAAAUGAUUUGCAAUAAAGUGGAAAGCAUUAAUCAAGAAAAAUAAAGAAGUCUGCUGAAAAAGUAAGAGGAAACAAAACACUAUUGAAAAGGCAAGACCCACAUACAGUGGUACAGAUCGGACAAAAUCUCAAACAACUGGAUGUGGAACUCCAGAAGAAAAUACUGUCUUUGGGGGAAAAUCUUACACUGGGGGAAGAAAAAUGGACAGAUCCUGCUUCCACUGCCCUUCUCUGUCAUUGAUUGACAGCUGCCAAGAAAAAGAUUGGUUCCGCUGGAAUGAUGUGCUUUGCCUUCAAGUGGAUGUAUGUAGCUAGCUCAAUGGCACCCGGUGGAGCCGGAUGGCAAGCUCCUUUAAAACUGUUAAUGCGUCUGGAUCCAGCAUCACAGAACAGUUCCUGGGCCAAAUGUGUCCUAGAAGAUUA
rnacentral:lncRNA from 1 species